UACAGAGGUCCCAAGCGUUGUUCGGAUUCACUGGGCGUAAAGGGCGCGUAGGCGGAUUGUACAGUCAGGCGUGAAAUUCCCGGGCUCAACCUGGGGGCUGCGCUUGAGACGUGCGAUCUUGAGUGGGGAAGAGGGUCGUGGAAUUCCCAGUGUAGAGGUGAAAUUCGUAGAUAUUGGGAAGAACACCGGUGGCGAAGGCGGCGACCUGGUCCUUGACUGACGCUGAGGCGCGAAAGCGUGGGGAGCAAACAGG
rnacentral:rRNA from 1 species